UGAUGUCAGUUCCGCGUGCAGUGAGAGUUGAACUUGCACGUUUUUAAUGACAUCAGAUACAAACACUGCUACUUUUCACUGGCAUUUGCCUCGCUUGUAAUUGCCCUUUUGCGGUAGCAGACACUU
rnacentral:snoRNA from 1 species